AACGAACGCUGGCGGCAGGCUUAACACAUGCAAGUCGAACGAUGAACCCGGAGCUUGCUCCGGCGGAUUAGUGGCGAACGGGUGAGUAACACGUGAGUAACCUGCCCUUGACUCUGGGAUAACUGCUAGAAAUGGUAGCUAAUACCGGAUACGACCCUCGGUGGCAUCACCAGGGGGUGGAAAGAAUUUCGGUCAAGGAUGGACUCGCGGCCUAUCAGCUAGUUGGUGAGGUAACGGCUCACCAAGGCGACGACGGGUAGCCGGCCUGAGAGGGUGACCGGCCACACUGGGACUGAGACACGGCCCAGACUCCUACGGGAGGCAGCAGUGGGGAAUAUUGCACAAUGGGCGCAAGCCUGAUGCAGCAACGCCGCGUGAGGGAUGACGGCCUUCGGGUUGUAAACCUCUUUUAGUAGGGAAGAAGCGAAAGUGACGGUACCUGCAGAAAAAGCACCGGCUAACUACGUGCCAGCAGCCGCAGUAA
rnacentral:rRNA from 1 species